rnacentral:lncRNA from 1 species
AAGGCAAUGAAGCAGUCAGGUAAAGGCCUGGGCCAAAUUUGGGGUAAACAUUUAUUCAUUGCUACUCUCACAGAAAAUGUGCCUGGUGCCUGAACUCCCUGAGCCAUGUGGGUCUGGCCAUCUGAACAAGCCUCUUCAGUCCUAAGUAAUUGGAACAAUAAUCCAACCAUCACUGGAUUGCCCAUGAUAAUGACAAUCUGAAAACCAAUUCCCACAUGUACUACACAUUACUUUCCC